ensembl:lncRNA
CGUUAGUUUUCAUGGUCAAUAUGAGAGAUCGUGUGGCAGAUCUUAAAAUAAAUCAAUAUUGAUUUUUUUAAUAGAGCGUUAAAGUUUUGCGAAGCCAGGGGGCGGGACUACUUGAUUGACAGGCCGGUCCGGAAUGAUUGACAGGUCCUAUGGUGGAGGCAGCAGAGACUCUGCUCUCCUGGUUUGGAUUAAUUCUGUCAAGAGACACUGAAAGACUCCGACAGCUGAGUGAGAGUAGCAGUUCCUCCUGAAGGUCAGAGAUUGCAGCAUCUGAGGGCCUCUUCAAAAGAAGACGUAGUUGAUGAAGGCGUUCUGGAGCAGGACCAGAAAGACCACAACCAAGCAGCCAUGAGAUGUUAGGCAGCGUCUCCCUCAGACCAAAGAACUACAGACUCUUCACAACCUGCUCAAACUCUUGGUACAGGACCUCACCACACGGGUCAAGAAGGUUUCCGUCUCAUUUCUACUCUGAAGCUCACCUUCUCCUGCUCAAACUGCUGACAAAUGUUUCUACUGCUCUAAAGUCUGGUCUCCAGAACUUCCUAAAAACUCUCAAAGUCUCUUCUGCUGCAGGCUGCUUUGUUGAACUGUUGCAGAAAACCUCACUAAACCACAUGGAGGGGCCUCAAGA